rnacentral:rRNA from 1 species
CCUACGGGGGGCUGCAGUGGGGAAUUUUGGACAAUGGGCGCAAGCCUGAUCCAGCAAUGCCGCGUGCAGGAAGAAGGCCUUCGGGUUGUAAACUGCUUUUGUCAGGGAAGAAAUCCUCUGGGUUAAUACCUCGGGGGGAUGACGGUACCUGAAGAAUAAGCACCGGCUAACUACGUGCCAGCAGCCGCGGUAAUACGUAGGGUGCGAGCGUUAAUCGGAAUUACUGGGCGUAAAGUGGGCAGAGGCGUGUGAAAUCCCCGGGCGCAACCUGGGAACUGCAUUUGUGACUGCAAGGCUAGAGUACGGCAGAGGGGGAUGGAAUUCCGCGUGUAGCAGUGAAAUGCGUAGAUAUGCGGAGGAACACCGAUGGCGAAGGCAAUCCCCUGGGCCUGUACUGACGCUCAUGCACGAAAGCGUGGGGAGCAAACAGGAUUAGAUACCCGAGUAGUC